AAAGCAAAGCAAAGUAAUGAUCAUUCUUAACACUUUGCUGCUAAAAAAAAUAAAGCACCCUUAACCGCAAUAAGUAAAAAUAAGAUGAGUCUAAUGUUCUUAAUAGCAGGUCUCUCUACGGUGUGAGUAUGUCUCUUCUGUUAAUUAUCUCCUUUUAUUGUAAAACUUUGCUCUAAACUACCUACUGAACAAUGAGUAU